GAUGAACGCUAGCUACAGGCUUAACACAUGCAAGUCGAGGGGCAGCACUAGGUAGCAAUACUGAGGUGGCGACCGGCGCACGGGUGCGUAACGCGUAUCCAACCUUCCCGUUACUCUUGGAUAGCCUUCCGAAAGGGAGAUUAAUACAAGAUGGUAUUCAAAUUCCGCAUGUUAUUUGAAUUAAAGAUUUAUCGGUAACGGAUGGGGAUGCGUGACAUUAGAUAGUAGGCGGGGUAACGGCCCACCUAGUCUACGAUGUCUAGGGGUUCUGAGAGGAAGGUCCCCCACACUGGAACUGAGACACGGUCCAGACUCAUACGGGAGGCAGCAGUGAGGAAUAUUGGUCAAUGGUCGGAAGACUGAACCAGCCAAGUAGCGUGAAGGAUGAAGGUUCUAUGGAUUGUAAACUUCUUUUAUACGGGAAUAAAACAUCUUACGUGUAGGGUCUUGUAUGUACCGUAUGAAUAAGCAUCGGCUAACUCCGUGCCAGCCGCCGCAGUAAUAC
rnacentral:rRNA from 1 species